GCUCAGGAUGAACGCUAGCGGCAGGCUUAACACAUGCAAGUCGUGGGGUAACAGGUGUAGCAAUACAUGCUGACGACCGGCGCACGGGUGAGUAACGCGUAUGCAACCUUCCUUUUACUGGAAGAUAGCCCCGAGAAAUCGGGAUUAAUAUUCCAUAAUAUCAUUGAAGGGCAUCCUUUAAUGAUUAAAGCUCCGGCGGUAAAAGAUGGGCAUGCGUGCCAUUAGCUAGUUGGUAAGGUAACGGCUUACCAAGGCUACGAUGGCUAGGGGGUCUGAGAGGAUGAUCCCCCACACUGGUACUGAGACACGGACCAGACUCCUACGGGAGGCAGCAGUGAGGAAUAUUGGGCAAUAGGCGCAAGCCUGACCCAGCCAUGCCGCGUGAAGGAUGACUGCCCUAUGGGUUGUAAACUUCUUUUAUACGGGAAGAAACUUUCGAACGUGUUCGGAAUUGACGGUACUGUAUGAAUAAGCAUCGGCUAACUCCGUGCCAGCAGCCGCGGUAAUACGGAGGAUGCAAGCGUUAUCCGGAUUCAUUGGGUUUAAAGGGUGCGUAGGCGGAUUGAUAAGUCAGUGGUGAAAUCCUGCAGCUUAACUGUAGAACUGCCAUUGAUACUGUCAACCUUGAAUGCAGUUGAGGUAGGCGGAAUGUGUAAUGUAGCGGUGAAAUGCGUAGAUAUUACACAGAACACCGAUUGCGAAGGCAGCUUGCUAAACUGUGAUUGACGCUGAGGCACGAAAGCGUGGGGAUCAAACAGGAUUAGAUACCCUGGUAGUCCACGCUGUAAACGAUGAUCACUCGCUGUUGGCGAUAUAUAGUCAGCGGCUAAGCAAAAGCAUUAAGUGAUCCACCUGGGGAGUACGGCGGCAACGCUGAAACUC
rnacentral:rRNA from 1 species